GAACUCCAGGAUGGAUGGUGGCGAAUCGCAUCAUUGGUCAUGAUGAAGCAGUAGACUUUUACUAAGGUCCGUAUGAUCAUUUCAUACGGACUUUU
rnacentral:tRNA from 1 species